CGCAACUAUCUCCACCAAUCCAAGUGAAGGAAAAAGCGAGGGCGGCGCCACCGUUACCCAUCACCGGCUGCCAAAAUAGAUUCCGAUCGCAAGCGGAAGAAAUCGGCUUAUUCGAUCUCCUCUGCGGAUCGAUCUGCAAAGGAAAAGCGUAGCAGCAGCAAGAAAAAUAAGAUGUCCUCUUCGGCGGCUACCGGUCAGGUUAGGGCAUCGCAUAUACUCAUAAAGCACCAAGGUUCGCGACGUCCUGCUUCGUGGAAGGAUCCGGAAGGCAGAAUUAUCAAGAAUACCACUCGUGAUAGCGCCGUCUCUCAGCUUACUGUCAUUCGAGACGACAUCAUUUCCGGCAAGUCCAAGUUUGAG
rnacentral:misc_RNA from 1 species